AAAAAUAUUUUUUUUUUUCACAAAAAGUUUUCAGAGCUGUAUUUCUGUGGCAAAUAGUAUGAGUGGUUUUAGGCUUUCUAUAGAGAUUGACAGAUUGUCCACUAGAAAGAUCAUACCCAGAAGGAUUCCAUAACCACCGUGCCCCCUUUCCCCCAGAAUUGUAUGAGUGUCCAUUUCACUACAUCUUCCUGGGGUAACUUGCACAUUCAGGGGAUUGACGGUGCUCAUUUAAAGAUGCUGAACAUGACAGACACAGACACCAAGAAGGCAUUUGCUUGUUACCAAGGGAUUUCACCAAGAAGAUAUGUCUCAAUCUCCAUGUCAAAAGAAUUGCUUUUCUUUACCGUUACAAUAGUCUUUCUCUACAGGGUUGGCUGUGAGGAAACAUCAAUAUUCCUUACAGAGAGAACUCACUAGAUUCCUUAAAGGGAGCUUAUUCUUCAUUCUCCCUUUUCUACUUUGAAGGCAAUGUGAAAUAAUCCAUCUUCUGGUGAUGUGAUUGAGGGAAAACCUUGUCUCCAAUUCUCUGAAGUUUACCCCUGUAGGUAUUCUGGCUCUAGGUAAAUGCCAAUUAGGUCUUACGUAAUAUACUUAUUACAGUGACCAAGACUUUAAAUAUCAUUAUGGGGAACAUUGAUGGGAAAAUGUGACUGGGGCAAAGAGAUCACUUACAGGACCAGAUUGAUUAUCUAAUGUGGUCCGUGAGAACAUGAAGGGUUUCAGGGAGGAUUUGAUGUCACGUCUUUGAGAGAAACAUCACAAUGUGCUCCCAUCAACUCUCCUGGCUCUCCCUUAGGUACACCGCUCAAUUCAAGGACAACCAUGAGCAGCUCAGAGUCCCUGCACCUCAGGUGGACAGGAACAUGCAGGGCAGAGUCUACGAGGGAACAUCUACGCUGUUAGCCUGCUCCCAAAUAGGAAAGUGUGGGUCAAAGAAGACACCUAUGCAAACUAUUUGAUUUCUCUGACUUCGUGAAUUCAUAGGAAGUAGUUCUCUGGAAGUACACUUGAACUCUGUUCUGCACUUUAAACACUUGACACCGCAACUCCUCUACUGAGCAGACAUGAAAACUAAGCAAGAAGUCUUUCUCCAGAAAUAAUUUCUGACUGCCUAAAGGCAAAUUAAUACAGUUAACACCCAUACAACUUACUCCUCUGAUGGACCAAUAAUAGGCAUUCAAAGACUACCUCCCUAAAGUCUGCAAGCAAAAAGGAAACUGCUUCAGAUAGAGACAGCCAGAGAGAGAGGGAACACAAGCAGGGUGAGUGGGAGAGGAAGAAGC